CUAAACAAUUGCUGUCAGACAUAAUAAAGAGACUCUAAAGGUGCAAUAGAGUCAUGCGUUCUUCAUAUUUAAUUUAAACGUGCACCUUAACAAAAAUAUGUGAGUGGUCUAUGCAUUGUGUUCUGGGCUUUAACAUCUAAUUGCCUAUGGGUAAGUGUGUUUGUCUGUGUCUUUGCAUGUAAUAUUUGAAGUUUAAUUUUUUGCACAAGGUUGGGUUGUUACAGGAGUGGACUGAGUACAUCUAGCUGAAUAAAAGUAUGACUCUUGUGCUAGGUUUUCACCAACUCAAAUGAGUCUGGGCUUAGAUUGAGUUGAGGCGGAUUUACCAGCAGAUGGCAGCACACAUCCAGUUGCUGUUAACAUGGAAACAGACAGAUACUGAGAAGAGGUGACCAAACUGUCAAGCUGAAUUGCCAUUAAUUAACAUAGUCUGGGUAAGUAAACAAGUGCAUCUACAUUUCAAAAUGACCACAACUAUACAGGAGUUGAGAUAGAUAUUAAAUUUGUCAGUAAACAUUAUAUGCUCUACUUUCAGCCAGUUUAAAGUGUCCAUCUUUAUUAACAUCAUGGGUUGACUACUGGUGACAAUGAAAAACACAACAUUCUGAGCCAGGCUGGUGGUAAUUUGUUAUCCUUCAACAAGUACUCCAGUUUUCCUGGGACCAACCAGGAGUGUGUGUGUUUAACAUGUGUACCGGCAUUCACUAAUGUGGCAAACAUGCAGGUCAUUUCCUUUUUAAAGAAAUAAAAGGCGGUAGUGCCUGAGGCUACACUCUGAUUUCACUGAAACCGGACAUGGAAACUGUGACAGUGUGUGUUUGUGUGUGCCUGGGAGAAUAAAGAGGUGGCUGAGGGGGCUCUAUUAGCCGGUAAAGACCUACGAGACCACAAAAGACCAGAUAAAGCCAGUUUUCUCUUCUAUGACAAAACCAGUCCCAUUAAUUUGGCUCAUGAUAAGACUAGAGAGACCACAUCCACCUGCUACAAAGAAUGCUAAUGAUGCAACUUUUACUACAAAAAUGACUGAUUACAACACAUUUUCUACUGAACACUGUCAUAAUGAACAAUAUCAGAUAACACUUCAGAUUGUGAGUUUGGAGCUGGUUGAAAUAAACUUGAAAUGAAUAAUAAUGUGAACUGUACGUUUUCUGCUAAAUUUGCUAAUAAGAGGCAACUAUCACGAUAAAUGAAGGAAAGAUAUUUCAACUUCAAGAAUUCAAUAUUUCAACUGCCCACAAAUAGCCAAAAAGAUCAGCAACUCCUGAUUCAACAGAAAUACAAAGUAUUUUUUCUAUUAAAAUUGAUUAUAAAUUAAAAUAUAUAAGAAACUAAUAAUAAGAAAGGAAUGACUCAUCCUUUCGCACCAGCCAUCUGUAAAUUCAUUUUUUUGUUGUUUGUUUUUGUGCUGCUAAAUGUGUGCAAACAAGUGACUUAUGCUCUUUCACUACCGUAGCAUAUCACAUUGUGGCCCCCUUACAACAGUGUAGUUCCGACAUGUGUACCAACACAUGCAGCCUCACAUGGUGAAAAACAUGUGCCCUGCUGAGAUCUGAGCUUUGUGCCCUUUGAAACUCUCACUUUCAACUCACUGCAUGAAGCAAAGGAUGCCCUGCUGGUGAAAAUAUGUAGUAUUGUAGCUAUCUGGCGAUAAUAAUUCUCUGAUUUAGUCAAUUACAGUUAUGAUCACAGAGGAAGGAAGUGAUUCACUAAGCUUCCAGCAGAUUAGCAAAUCUGUAUUGCUCAUCAAAACACCUUUUUUUCCACUGUGUUUUGCAGAGCAGAAAAUAAUUAUCAAGCACAUCACAGAUACAGAGAUGGUGUGGGAGGAAAUGUGUUAUGGGGGAUUUGUCAAACGGAAUCAGUCUGUAGUCACAGCUGCAUCACAUGUCUUCUGAUUUAUUCUUCCUGACUGUCAGCUCACUGUUGCAAUAUAAAUAUAAACCAGAGGGAAACAAGAGUGCUAAGUCAGUUGAUAGUAUGGUUAAAUUGUUGUUUACUGAUUUCUAAACAGUAAUUUAACAAUUUUCUCAAUAACUGCAAGAGGCUGCAUAAUUUUAAAGAGUUUUAGUUUUAAGUUGUAGCAUGGCAUAAAUUGACAACUUAUUUUUGUCUUAACAGCUUUUAAUUAACAGACUGUUGCUAAAUACUGGGAAAUUGGACUGGUUUCAUUUUCCUCCUCUAUCAUUACUAUUGGUAACUGUUGAAUAAGUCUUGCUAAAAGCUGAGAAGAGUAUUGAAAAUGAACUAAUAGCCAGUAUGACCAUGACUAUCCAGAUGAAGUCUAAGGUUGACGCAAAGUUGCUAAACGUUUAUAGAUGUAAUCUGAAGUAAGAUGAAAAAAGAAAAAGAAACUCAUGUGGACACACAUUAAGGCUGUGCAUGUGGUUGAUCUCAUUUAUCUUGGCUUGAUUUUCAUUUUUGCAAAGGUAAGGCAAGUUUAUUUAUAUUGCAACAUUCAUACACAUGGUAAUUCAAAGUGCUUUACAGAUGCUAGCAGAAACUUUGACUUGCAUCAAAAACUUUCCUCCCCAAAAUAGAAAAAAAAUUAUCGCAGCCAAGAUUUAGUUAGGCUGGGUUAGGGUUGAAGGAUUUUAGGAAAAGAUCGAAUUGCGAUUUUUUUGGCAGAAAUUGCAAUUUCAAUUCGAUUCAGGAUUUUCUUUAAAGCAAGCUUCAACAUUCACAAUGUGUACAGUAACAUUUACAAAUCAAAACAUAAAAAGCCUUUACUUUAAUUCAAGAAUGAAAACUAAAGGUAAGAAUUGUGGAUGGAAAGCCAAUCUUCACAUUUAAAGACAAUUGAGUCAUCCCAUGUGGUCAUGUGCUAAAGACACUACCUACACCACAAAGACUUGGUGGUUUCACCAGAAGAGAGCAUAAGUUCAUAUUCUCUUGCAGCUUUGUCAAUUGGUUUAGACUAGAAUUGCAGCUGAUUAUGUUGUAAACCUGCUCAUGUGGCACUAUAGGCCUUGUUAUAGAGAAGUGGGCUAUGAUGUUGUCAAAUAUUUCAAUAAAUGUUAAAUAAGUAGUUUUGUAUUGAAUUGGUCUAACUUUUAUAUAGCAUUACUGUUUAAGGUUAAAAUGAUGUGUUUUACUUCAAUAAUCUAUGGCACAACUUAUCCCAAUGUAUUCUCUUCAAAGGCACAUUUUACCUCGCACUACGGUUAAUCUAAAACUAUAUUUGUCAACCAGUUUGUUUAAGCGAUUGUUCCCAUGGAUGCACCACAUCCUUAAUUAAAUGUACAUAUUUUAGUUAGCGGUAUUACAGUCAUCCCUUUGCUUUGAGGAUGCCAAGUAAAAACUGGCACAACUCACCCCACUCUCCCCUAUUGUGUCAUAGCAGUCGUUAUCUCCCGGUGUCUCCGGCUGCUCUUGUUUUAUGGGCUUACACUGGCAAAAGAUGUUGUAAACAAUGGGCCUGAGACUCAUGUUUACUAGACUUUACACCGGACCUUUUCGUCGUGCAGUCCUCAUGUAAGCGCCGUGGUGGUUUCUCAAGUGCCGGUAAAUUCGUUGUGUUUCCGCUAAAUGUAGCAACUUUAGCGCGACAUGUUUUGCACAGCAGCCUACCUGUUUCUGGUGCACGUCUGCAGCCUCAAAUCCAAAAGACAUCCCAGAUAAUGGCCACCACUUUUCUUGGGGAUUACAUCACCUAAUCCGUUUGUGUUGUCGCUGAAGCCAUUUGUCAAAAACCGUUCACCUUUCAAACCAGGAGAGCAGGAUACUGAUUGGUUAAGACCUGUCCAGGAGUAGCAUAUGCCGCUUCUGAUUGGUGCGUUUGAAAGGACGGUGGGAAGACGGUGUGUAUAUCUAACAUAGUUGACACAGAUCCUAAGUCAGUCAUGAGCGCAGCAAAAACAAGUAUCAAAAAAUAAAUAAAUUAAUUAAUUAAAAACGCAUCUUUGGUGAUCACAUGAUCGUGUUGUCUAAACUCGCAAUAAAUGUUCUUCCUUGAGCUGCGUCACCCCGCUGCAGUCGAUUGACUCGCCCGGAGGUUUCCGUACAAACAAGCGAGUGCUAGGAGAGAGUGGGUGAGUUGUGUUUAGUCUCUUUGCUAAAGAAAUCAAGCAAAGCUAAAAAGAUGUUUGGUGGCUAGUGCUGUGGCUGGGGCCCUAUAUGUACUGUUGAUGAAUAGGUGCUGUUCUGGGCGUUAUUUGUGGCUAGAGUAGCUUUUUGGUUGAGCAUGUGGCUCUCUGUAUUGCUAUCUGCGGUCGUUACUAAGGUUGGUAUAACUUGAUAAGCAAGCGGUCGGCAACAUUCAUCUCUCAAUGGGGUGUCUAACUCGGUGUUCCGGUGUGUUUGACCCUAACUUAAUUUUAUGCCGGAAGACCCCUGUAAUGCAGUUUACAACAGCCCAGCCAAACAUUAUGAACACCGGAGCAGUCUAAUACUCCAUACCACAGAAAAUAUUUAAGGAUUUUAUAUUUAAAUUACUGUGGCACCUGUUGAAAAAACUAUGGCAAAAUGUAUUGAGUGUUAAAUGCAAACAGCUCAUGCUAACAAGUAGCUGUUCGGUUGCUAUGGCUAACAUUAAACCAGCACACAUAGCACAGACAAGAGUAGCUAUAUUUAAAAUCAAGAUGCUAACAUACUGUUUAAAUCCAGCUCGGCAUGAUGGUCCUCUCCACCACCAUCCUCCUAUUUGUCCGAGUUAUUCUCCUUUUGUCACUUAAGGGUAGUCCUCAGUAGGCUAGCUUACUUUAAGCUGCCCUCAACAGCCUGUGAAUGUUGACUGAGAUAGUCCAGUUUACCUCCUAGUUUUACAAACCAAUAAGAAUAAACUUCUAGGAUAGCCACCAGCGACUUUACUAACUGAUGAGUUGGCUACACUGGUGAAUACACAGAUUGCAGGUUGGUCAAGGAAAUGCAGACUUCAACUAAAGAAUGCCCACCUGAAUGAUCUCGAAAGAUACCUGACAUUGUCCAAAGCCUACUUUACAGAUAGUUAAGUUAGGUCUUUCUAUUUCUUGGUCUUGUGUAUGAACGUACACUCAGCACCUGUUUAGACACGCUGCGAACACGGCAGAAAUGUACAAGGAAAUUCCACUACAAACACGGUAUCCUUCCAUAAAUGGGAUAUCGCCCAUAAAAAUGGACCCCAGAAAAAUAGCGAAUUGAAGCUUGUCUUGUGUCUCAAUUAUUCUAGUUAUAAAGAGAACAUGCAAACCAUUUUAUGCAAUGAGACAAAACAAAUAUACUUCUCAGAGAACAUGUCUUAUUUCCUACUACCCACAAACUACGCAGUACAGUUUUGUGCUUCACAGUUAGUGAAGAUGACAUUAAUUGAGUGAAAAUAAUAGGAGAUGCGUAGAUUUGACAGCAUUUGUCAGACCAAGACAGUAUUUGUUAGAGUUAUUCAUCUUCAGAUAGAAAAAGCUGAAAUCUAUCCAUAGACAGCACUUGAUUUCAUGUUUCCACACUUGACAGUGAUCUAAGAUAGUCUUAUCUGUUGUGAAAAUACAUGUCAAAUGAUAAUUAAAGCAGUGCAGUUAUUAUUGUACUCACACUCGUCAGAGACACAAACUUCUCUUCCAAAAUUGCAUAUUGUCUUUAAAGCCAUUAUUUUAGAUGUGUUUUGUUUUGUAGAGGAUUCAGAGUUAAAGGUAUUUAACGCUACAAGUCCUCUGGGGCAAGACAUAACUCUGACACUUCAUGACAAGUACACUGUACAAAGAUGUAAAGACCCCUAAUUUAAACAGAGUUUUGAUUGUGUUGGAAAAAGCAGCACUCACAAGCUCUCAACUUUAAUUCAUAUAACCAGCCCCAAGACACCUCAGUCUGUACCGCCUUGACAUCAACAAACUGAAGCAACACUUUGCUUGCAGCCUGAGUUAAAACAUUUACUAGCCCAGUAUCAAGACCAACCCUCACUUUCCUGACCUUAAAAGUGUAGCCUCACAGCUUAAAAAAUAAGUGCUUCACCAUCAGCUAUCUUUCCCAGGGCAAAGUCUUUCUUUGUGUAAAAUCUCACUGCAACUCACCCUGGUCUGUAUCAGUUGGUAUCCAAGUAAACCAAACUGGCAAACAAAGACCCAUCACCUAGCUUCCAUGUUUACCCUCUGUUAAAUAACAUGACUUGAGGCCGUGUACCACUUGUUAUCUAAAGUCACUGAUAUGUUUUUAUAUUUACAGCCCUGUUAUGAAUCAUAUGACAUUACAUCAUGUCCAUGUCAAAGGGAAAUUGAUUUUCACAGUCUGUGUGCUUCAUAAUGUUUAUUAGGGAAGAUGUCAAACUAAAACAAAGCCCAAAUUAAAGCAUUGUUAUUAGAUGAACCCCUUUCAAAGACUGAUGGCUGCUCAACAUAGUCAGUUUUUGUGAGGUCCUUGUUAGACACUGCAAUGAUUAAAACCAUUUACUGGAUUUUUUUUUAAUGCAAUAUACAUGUAUCUCUCUUUCUCCUUCAAAGUAGGCUCAUUUGUAUUUUGAGAUUAUAGAGCGCAAAUAUUAUUGAUUUUGUCCUCUUAACUAUAACAAUUAAGUUUGUAAAUAACUGGCUAUCAUUAAUCUAUUGACAACCCCCAAGUAAACAAUCAGCUUAACAGUCAAAAACUUUAUAAUAUUACCAGGUCAAGGACAAAUAAAGUUGACCAAAUCAGGCCUGUGAAGCCCCUCAGUAGUUUGGAAGUCGAUUGUGUAAGUGGAUCAGAGUAAGUAGGACAGCGAAAAUGACAUAGAAAGGCCUAGAUGUGUCUCAUUACCUCUCCCUCUCAGGGACCCUGGUCAAGUACCAGGCGGUGUAAAUAGACGAAGCAGACAGGUUAAGGACAGUAAACAUAUCAAAGGGCCUGUGUCAUUUUUUAUCCAUUUGAAACAAUCUAACAACAAACAAAAAUAAUCCUGAAAACUCAAUAAUUGAGUGAUAUUUUACAAAUAAUGUCUAUUUAGAUAAAUAAAAACACACUUGAGUCAAUCUAAAGACUGUUAUUUGUGGUUGUGUCUCCUAUAGGUAAUUUUUGGAUAAAAGUAUUCAAUGUAUUAAAUCAGUAACUUGUUUAAUCCGUCUGUCAAAGUAAUAAUAUGUCUUAAUCAAUUGCCCUGUGGGGAUAAAUAAAGUCCUUUUAUUGCAUUGUGUGCAUGUGUCUCGGAACUUGAUGGAAUAUUCUUUGACUUUGUCUUCACUUCAUUUCACAUGUACAGGGUCUAAGAUCUAAUGAUGGCUGGCUUUGGACUCAAGGAGCCACACGGAGCUGCAUCUGAAUCAAACAAACAGGGACAGCCUCUAUCAACCUAUGUGUCCAAAUAAAAGCAUCUUUGACAUGAAAGGCAGGAUCUCCAUGGUUUCCCCCUGGAGCUGGGCCUCGUUGCCAUGGGAGUGGAAGGCGCUACUGGAGGAGGAAAAACACAGAGAGUAUCUUCUUUCCAUGUACGGAACCUAUUCAUGCACACUUUAUUUUGCCUUUCGUCUCUGCACAUAGUCAUUGAGAAGCUAAUAAUACAUUCAGAUUAGUUUGAAGUUAUUUUAUUAUUUUAUUGAUCUUACCAGCUGCUUGUGUUUGUUAAAAUGACCUGAAGUUAGUAAAACAAAUCAGGCUGUACUUGAAUGUGCCCAAGCAUAUGACGUGUCCUUUAGCACACUGAUUGCCUAAUUGUUUAAUGGCUAUUCAAAUAAUGUUGUGCAGGCCCUGUUCUGAUUGUCCUAAUGCAUUUAACCAUCCCAACAGCAUGUGCCUGUCCAGGAGUGUGAUCAGACCCUAGGGGCAACAGAGAAAUUAACACAAACAACUGACGUGUUACACAAGGCCUCCCGGUGAGUUAUUAUUAGCCUUGAUUUUAUAAUGACAUGCUGUGGAGAUAGCAGUUACCAAAACAGCCAUGCUACUGAGUAGAUGCUCAGCAGAAGAAGAACAAACACAGUGGUUCUGUGCAUAUAAGUCUGAUCUGAUUUUAGGAAGUCCAAUCUACAUCAGUGAGCUUGUUAUGUACUGAACAGGUCACGCUUGGGCUCAGCUCCAUACAGUUCCUGGGGUGACUGAGUGGGUGGUAUAACACAGGGCAGGUGUGUAGGCUAAGUGAUGAGUCUGCUACGUGCAGAUGCAGCAUGGCUUGUUCUUGGCCCUACAAACGGUGGAUAUCUUUACAGAUAAGAGCAUGCAAGGCGGUUACAUCAAGUUUAUUAGGUACUGUUGUCAAAUAGAUGUUGUAACUGACGACACAAAGGCAGCAGUUGUGGAUGGUGAGACACAUGAAAUUCAAAAUAAAGUGGGGUUUAGAUGUAGUUGAAUUAAAUAUUUGGAGAAAUGUCCUUUUUUCCAGAUUUUCACAAAAUCUCAACAAAAUAUACCCUCACAAGUAAAGACAAAUCACAUCACAUUGUGAGAUAAAUACUUUUAUAAGAAACAUAAGUAUUUCUGUGUGUUUUUUCUCUCAAUAUUUUGUCUAAAUACUUCAGACUGUUGACAGUUUUGUGCAUCAUGAGACAUCACCUGGUUGUGUGUGAGUCACUGCGUGUCUGUGUCACACGGCUCUGUUUUAUUUAAGUCAUGUGACAUCACCCCAUGUAAUGACGCAGCUUAAAUACAGCAUACAGCCUGCUCGUAACUUCAUCUAAUCUGGCGCAAAAUGAACAGCAAAGGCAGUGUUUGCUGAUUGCAGAGCUGAGUGGAGCUGUGAGCACUGAUGUCAUUGCUUUAAAAAAAAAAAAAAA